rnacentral:lncRNA from 1 species
GACAUGUCAGAGGAUGCUGCAAAAGGUUUCGAAAGUGUCCUCAUGUGGAGGUCCACCGAACUGGAGAAUUCAUGCCAACAAGCUGUGAGCUCAUACAGUGCUAUAGUUGAUGAGUUAAGCCUGCCACACACAUAAAGAUAAUCGGGCUGAUUUUGCCCCGAUUUUCCCCCUUCCGAUCACGGACAGACAUCGCCCGAUUAUCUUAAGCUCUUAAGAUUAUUUUAUAAGAUUCUCUUGUAGUGUGUGGUGUGUUAAGAGUGAAAUUCGGCCGACAAUCGGCUCCGAAAUCAGUCGGCGCCGAUAAUCGUAAGUAUUAAACAUGUUCAAUAUUUACGAUUAUCGGCGGAGAACGUUGUGGUGUCAAAUCGUCUUGUGUGGGGGGGAAGCCGACAAUCGGGAGUCUCCAACGUGACGUAAUAUUGAAUUUAACCAAUAAAGAGCAAGCUGACUGAACACGGAAUUAUAACGAGCUAUCUCCAUGGCUACGAUAUCCCUGAAUACCACCAAUAUGGCGAAGACAGUUAAAGUUAGAUGGACCUCCGAUAUGGAGGAUAAACUUGUCGAACAUUGGCAAACACACGAGUGUUUGUACAAUAUUUCCUCAAAGUCCUACCACAACAGGAAUGACAAGGACAGGAGUUGGCAUGAAAUUGCCACCGCGAUGGACAUACCAGUGGAAGAAGUACGUGCGAGGGCAACGUCACUGAGAACGCAGUACUCCAAGCUUCUGAAAAGCAAACCAAGUGGUAGUGGAGAUACAGCUUUAACCAGCAAACAGAAGUGGAUGCUGAAGUCCUUAUUUUUUUUAAAAGCACAUGUCGUCCAGCGUGCUACAGAGACCAGUCUUCACAUGUCAGUGAAAGACAGCCUGGCUGUGGAGGAGAUCCACUCUGAGGCAGAAGAAGGUGCGUCAGAGGUGUCAGAGCUGCCAGAAGAUCUGGAGCCAGUUGCCUCUUCUGGAACAACACCACCACAUGCCUGUACUCCUGAGCCUCCAAAUCUGGCCAAGAAACGCAAAAAAGUCCAGUCACCUGAUGAAAUCGAAAUUCAAAAAGUCAACAUCCUCCAGCAAAUGUCUAAAGUCAUAGCGGAAAAUAGAAACAGGCCAGUGCAGACAGACAGCGACACCACUUUUGGUGUACAGGUUGCAGCGGAGCUAAGGAGUAUUAACAACCCAAUACUAAAAACAAGGGUGAAGCGCCAGAUAAUGGCAGCUCUAUAUGAGGCUCAGGAGUCUGAACUCAGCAUGUCCUCUCCAACAUACAGAAGGCCACAUCCCUAUCACCCACCCUCAACUGGCCAGAUCCCCCCUCCACAACUCCCCUCUCCUCUCACAUACACAGACACAAAUUUUCAGCCAUACACCAGCUAUCGGAGGAUGCUGGAUGAAGACACAUAAACUAUGUAUGAUGUUUAAUGUAUUUCUUUUUGUUGUAUUUUAAUGAUUGUCCUAUAGCUUAUAUUUGUUAUUCUCUAAUGUUUGUACCUAUUGAAAAUAAACUACAUGUACAUUUAUAAUGCAAAGAUACUAUAUGAGUCCAUUUG